GCUUUCUUGUGCUGAAUUUUCCUCUGUUGCUUUCACCUCUGACACAUUUUUAGGGUGUUUGCAGCUACAGAGACACCAGGACAGGAUGUCAAUUGCCUGCAGGCUGACAUUCAGAUGUGUGCACUGCUCAACACCUCCUUUGCUGUUCUCAACCAGACCUAAGCAUUGCCAUGAGUGUGCGUGACUGGCUGUGAGGCAGAUGUUAGCAUGACCUGGCUGAAGAUCCACUAGAUGGAAUUUGGAGAUGCACAUAUCCAAGCCAUGAUCCUGCUCUCUAAUACUGUGAAUGGCACUCGAAUGGGAAUACAGGUCCAUGAAGUCAGGCACACAGCACAGAUUUCACUCCAGAUUUGGCCGCUCUUCAUCCAACUGUUCCUCUGACAACAUGGAGAUGGGGGCUACCAUUCAGCCCAGAGAAGUCCUCCUGGAGUCCUCUCUGCAGUAUGGCUUGCCCUUGUGAAGGUCUGGGUUUGAUGUUCUAGAACUGUUAUUCUCAAUUGACACACGGUGGAUUUGACUGCUGGGAGACUGUCACCAGGAUCUCUUUCUGAAUCAUCUGGAAAUCUCUACCUAGAGCUCUGAACAGAAGGUGAGAAGAGCCCCCCUACUACUUCUCUUAAUGGCACCUGCAGUGUGUGGGGCAAUGAGGCCCAGUUUAUCAUUCACAUGCCAUGCAGUCCCCACAGAUGGCAC
ensembl:lncRNA